GACAGGGAACUGGAGUGAAACACCUGGCAGAGGACUUGCAGUGAUACCUAUUGUUGCUUGUACAGAGUCAGCUACAGUUGGCAUAGAAGGUUAGUGAGGAAGUCCAGUUUUCUGUUCACGGUGAUGAAGAUGUUACUCAUACGUCUUAUGACAUAUGGACCUGGUGGUACAUACCUAGUGGGAAGAUACGUUGGAUGGGUGUGA
rnacentral:lncRNA from 1 species